rfam:TPA: Bos taurus chromosome 3, whole genome shotgun sequence.
UCCCUGAUGGUCCAGUGGCUGAGACUCCACACUCCCAAUGCAGGGGGCCCAGGUUCGAUCCCUGGUUGGGGAA